rnacentral:rRNA from 1 species
UACGUAGGCAGCGAGCGUUGUUCGGAGUUACUGGGCGUAAAGAGCGUGUAGGCGGCCUGGUAGGUCAGCUGUGAAAACUCGAGGCUCAACCUCGAGACGCCGGUUGAAACCAUCAGGCUAGAGUCCGGAAGAGGAGAGUGGAAUUCCCGGUGUAGCGGUGAAAUGCGCAGAUAUCGGGAAGAACACCCGUGGCUAAGGCGGCUCUCUAGUACGGUACUGACGCUGAGACGCGAAAGCGUGGGGAGCGAACAGG